AUCAUUGAGUACGUCUUAAGCAUGAUGACUGAGGUUUCAAGCUCACGUGUGAUGUGUGCCUCCCUCAAACCUUGUUACAGAUGCCAGUCUAACA
ensembl:snoRNA